AUUGAACGCUGGCGGCAGGCUUAACACAUGCAAGUCGAGCGAGCGGCGGACGGGUGAGUAAUGUCUGGGAACGUGCCUGAUGGAGGGGGAUAACUACUGGAAACGGUAGCUAAUACCGCAUACCAUCAGAUGUGCCCAGAUGGGAUUAGCUAGUAGGGGGGGUAAAGGCUCACCUAGGCGACGAUCCCUAGCUGGUCUGAGAGGAUGACCAGCCACACUGGACCUAAGACAAGGUCCAGACUCCUACGGGAGGCAGCAGUGGGGAAUCUUGGACAAGGGGCGCAAGCCUGAUGCAGCCAUGCCGCGUGUGUUAUGAAGGCCUUCGGGUUGUAAAGCACUUUCAGCGGGGAGGCGUUACUCGCAGAAUAAGCACCGGCUAACUCCGUGCCAGCAGCCGCGGUAAUAC
rnacentral:rRNA from 1 species